CUUUUAAAUUGCAGAUUGUUCCAAUAUACUAAUCGAUAGCUAAAUAUAUGAUUCCUAUGGUGUAGCAUUUGCAAGUCGAAAAAGUGGUACAUUUGAGAUAUAUUCGUGAAAAUAAAAUUGUAAUCUAGAUAUGUCCAUCGUGGAGGAGCUUAUUGCGUUGUACUUGUUUUAGGAUUUUCAGAUCUUAUUUUCGUAAUGUGUAUUCUAUGUUAGGGUUUUAAUAGUGAUUAGUGUAAUCAUUUUUAGGUCAUUUAUUCAUAAUUGAUUGUAUUAUGUAUUAUGUAUUAUAUUCGACUUUCCUCAAAAUCGUAUAUAUACGGUUGUACAUAUAUCAGGAUUGCUAUAAGCGCGUGGUAUAGACAUUCAGCCAUUCAGUUACCUGAUUGCCUUAGUUACGAUUGAAAAAAGACUUGAAAUACAAAAAGAGGACAUUCUGUAAGAUUUUGUGUUGUCGAACGGACCGUUAGUAGCAUUAUUAUAUAUAUACAUAUAUAUAUAUAUGUAAAGAAAGUAUACUUUCUUAAGUUAGUUUGCCGCACUUUUCAUGUCCCGCCCUUCGAUUGUCUUUUGUUAUUUACAAGUCGAGUCGUUAAGACUUGGAAGAGAAACAGGCAUUAGGAAUUAGAACUUAGAAGAGAGAAAUAGGACGAGAGAUUACUAAGAAACUUUAUAAAGAAGAUAAUGUUUUCCCAACUUCGGCAAUCCUUGACGUCUUUUACUAAUAGUCCCGCACGCAUUUGUACUAUAUUAUGCAACAAAUUAAAUAAUCCUGGAAUAUAUUGCGGCGUUCGUACCCACAAGUCAUAUUGUGCGCGCCGCAUAUAAGACAAGAACCAUUUGUACAUUGGACGAGAAAGCCUGUCUCGACUCAGACGAAAGUGAGACAUACUGAUCAAAAAUACCUACCGACAGCUGUGGCUUUAAUGAAUACGAUGUUCUUUACGAAGAGCCGGCAACGAAACUGACACCCGCCGAAUCGUUGCAAGGACCCAUGUUAUAUACGGUUACGACGAAAGAUGUCACAUUCGCAUUAACGAGAACGAGUGAGUUCAUUCUAUGUGGAUAUUCUAUAAUAAAGACAAAACACCCCAAGCUAUUCAUAAUCGAAACAUCGCCUGGAAGAACUUUCAAAGGAAAACGAAGACCUCUGUAAAGAACCUAGACAUCUUCGCUUACAUAAACUCGAAGUUCAUCUACUCAAAACACAGUUAAAUUCACUGAACAUCGAUAUCACUCAACAAAAAUGUGUACUGGAGCAACAAGUUCUCAAAAACGCUCUCUCUCUAGCAACGUUAGCGUCCGACGAAAUCGGCUUAUGUUCUAAUGAAACAACCGGGAUAUAUGGCUGUCAUCGCAUCGGAAGUUAUAUACAUCAUAAAAUGUGUUCCAGUAGAAGUUAGUGUAAGACAAACAGAAGAUUGCUACAAAGAAUUACCUAUUACCAAAACGAUUCUUAUUUUCUCUCGUCGAAGACACGCGUCAUUUUGAAGGAAGAAUCUCCGAAAGACUGCAACGAGCUGCUACCUAAUACCAUGUAUAACCUACAUGGGACAUGGUACAGAGUAACACCAAAAUUAGUAGAAUCGAUACCUCCGCCAGUAAUUCAACCACUAACAAAGCCAAAAUAGAGGUAUAUCGAUCCGAAACAUCUGGGAAUAAGCGGAAUUUAUUCUAACGAAGACCUAAACAAACUGAGAUCUUAUAAUGGAACCACCCGAAAAACAUGCUAUCAUCGAUACGCUCGCCAGAGGAAUCAGCGGAAGGUACAUACCCUCCGGAAAAAUUUCGUUAUACAAUCUAAUGGACGAGGAGUCACUAAAUAAAAUCGCAUCAAGUACGGCACGACUAUGGAGCGCGUUUAUAACAUUCAGAUCGGCAAGUGCCGGAGUUUUAGCCAUCUUCAUGGCCAUAUGCCUGGUGAAAUUUAUCAUCGACACACUCAUUCACAGUUAUGCAUGACAUCUACGGAUGGAGCUUAUAUCUCUUGGGAGCGCUAUGGAGCUCGGUGACACAUCUUCUCCUCCACCUAGGAAAAAGAGAAAAGAAGGAAGAAACACCAACAAGUACGGCACCCUUCGAUGAAGAAAGAAGAGGGUACGCUUUUGAUGAAAAACCAAGUACUUACUAUGAAUUAAAAACGUAUUUGAGUAAAGAAAUAAGUUAAAAUGCACGUAUAUCUACGCACAUUUUCAAAUAAGGGGGGAAGUGUUACAUCCCGCUCCCUUCUCACACUUAAAGUAUAGGAAUAAAUAGGGACACCUUACGUACCACAAAAAUUUUUCAAACUCUUAUUAUUCAAAAGGCGUAUAAGAUCCUUAUAUAUAUAUAUAUAUAUAUAUAAUUAUAUGACACAUUCGAGCCCGAUGUAAAGGGAGUCUCUAUUAUCACAAAUUAACACUAUUAAAGAACACACACUAGCAAAUAGGUAACAAACAUAUAAGCGAUAAAUUCAAGAGACGAAAGGAAUCUAAGGAAGUUAUGGAAAGCGAUGCCAAACUCCGGAAAAGUAAAAGGGAUGCAGGAAUUCAAGGAAUUGUGAAAAAAUGAAAUUAUCGCUCGACGUGCGUGUUUUCCGGGUAGAAAUCUCUAAAAUUUCCAUCUCCACCACGGGGCCACGGCAGCGGCAGAUUCAUCCCCACUGCAGCACCGCUUCGAGCUGCCUACCGCAGACCGACGGAGGAUAUAAGCAGCUACAUCGCUCGGUUUUUUAUAUUCUUCAAUGGCUCGACUACUAAACUUCGAUCAUACUGACGCACUGUUAGUCGUUAUACUACGUGUUAUUCUACGCUACGUCUUAUUCUUGUACGAACUUCUUCUAUACUUUAAAAAUUCGACUGUACACUGUUAUUUGACAAGUAUUAAUAAAUUAGUUUUGUUAAGUUUAAACUCAGUGUUCGUUCAUAUAACCCCGGCUGUGCUUCCCAGACAACUUCGCGUAAUUAUAAUUUAAACUUAUUAAUUUCUCUCGCGAGUCUCAAGAUCUUCCUAUUAUACAGUCGACAAGUUCGAAGCUAAAAGGCUUCCAUUAUUCACGUGAAAACCUUCACCUUAGUUAUCCUUUACUAGAGGUGCGUACGAAUCGCACAACCGCGCGUAUAGGUGUCCAUCCCGUGCCACGAACUGCGCUUAGCGGGUAACGGUAAAAAAGGAUAUGAAUCUCACAAAGGUCAGAGCUCUUCAAGGUGUUUUGAACUUAACAAAAUUUUUUGAGGCCCGUACCAAGUGGGAUGUGACACCGCCACACUUGCCGCUGACGGCAGCAUAUAGGCACGACGCUUCAGCGCCAUGUAUUUUCAGAGCUAGUCGCUUCGGCAUGUGAGUUGUUACACACUCCUUAGCGGAUUCCAACUUCCAUGAUUAACGUCUUGCUGUCUUUAUCGACCAACGCCUAUACCAGGAAGAUAGGGUUUGGAAAGCGAAGAGAACCGCAGUUUCGGCGGAGUCUGGAUCUUUCCCAAAGACCUUAAAAAUCCACGAGAGGACCUUGUGGAGUAUCGGAAACGCAAGAUGAAAAUGCUACAAAAUUUAAAGUAGAAGGAAAUACAUUUUUAGAACUUGGGUACUAAUACAUAUUUUGCAGCAUAAAUGCAAAAGAUUUAUCAAAAUGAGAGAUUCAUUAAAAUCAUAUUUAACUGAUUCAAUUACGGUUUUAUAAAAUGUUUCAUCAGCUAACAUCCAAACAAUAUUUUUAAAGCACUUACAUGAAAUGUUUUCUCAUUAAAGAAACCAUUAUUGAGAGUCUUAUUAAAAUUUUGGUCAACUGAUGAAGAAACUGUUCGAGUUGUUGCAUUUUUAUAUACAUUACGUAUUGCAACUAUUCAUAGGGUAUCUUGAAAU